CCGAGUCUACAACUCCCAAACCCCCUGUGAACCUUACCAUUCUGUUGCUUCGGCGGGACUGCCCCAGGGCUGCCCUGGAACCAGGCACCCGCCGGGGGACCCAAGCUCUUAUGUUUUUCUUCAGCGGAUUUGUCUGAGUGGCUUCGAGCAGAAAAUGAAUCA
rnacentral:misc_RNA from 1 species